rnacentral:rRNA from 1 species
GACGAACGCUGGCGGCGUGCUUAACACAUGCAAGUCGAACGGAAAGGCCCUGCUUUUGUGGGGUGCUCGAGUGGCGAACGGGUGAGUAACACGUGAGUAACCUGCCCUUGACUUUGGCAUAACUUCAGGAAACUGGGGCUAAUACCGGAUAGGAGCUCCUGCUGCAUGGUGGGGGUUGGAAAGUUUCGGCGGUUGGGGAUGGACUCGCGGCUUAUCAGCUUGUUGGUGGGGUAGUGGCUUACCAAGGCUUUGACGGGUAGCCGGCCUGAGAGGGUGACCGGCCACAUUGGGACUGAGAUACGGCCCAGACUCCUACGGGAGGCAGCAGUGGGGAAUAUUGCACAAUGGGCGGAAGCCUGAUGCAGCAACGCUGCGUGCGGGAUGACGGCCUUCGGGUUGUAAACCGCUUUCGCCUGUGACGAAGCGUGAGUGACGGUAAUGGGUAAAGAAGCACCGGCUAACUACGUG